GGCCCCUUGGUCGAGAGGUUAAGACACCGCCCUUUCAAGGCGGUAGCGCGGGUUCGAUUCCCGCAGGGGUCACCA
rnacentral:tRNA from 1 species